rnacentral:lncRNA from 1 species
UAGAUUCCCACGCUGCCCCUAAUCCCGCUUGAAGCAGCCCUGAGAAACAUCACCCAUUCUCUCUCCAUACCACCCCCCAAAAUUUUCACCGCCCCAACACUUUACCACUAUUUUGUUUUAUUUUUCUUAUUAAUAUAAAAAGACAGGAAUGUCAGACCUCUGAGCCCAAGCUAAGCCAUCAUAUCCCCUGUGACCUGCACAUACAUCCAGAUGGCCUGAAGUAACUGAAGAAUCAUAAAAGAAGUGAAAAUGGCCUGUUCCUGCCUUAACUGAUGACAUUACCUUGUGAAAUUCCUUCUCCUGGCUCAUCCUGGAUCAAAAGCUCCCACACUGAGCACCUUGUGACCCCUACCCCUGCCAGCUAGAAAACAACCCCCUUUGACUGUAAUUUUCCUUUACCUACCCAAAUCCUAUAAAAUGGCCCCACCCCUAUCUCCCUUUGCUGACUCUCUUUUCAGACUCAGCCCAUCUGCACCCAGGUGAAAUAAACAGCCCUGUUGCUCACACAAAACCUGUUGGGUGGUCUCUUCACACGGAUGCGAGUGAAACAGUAAAUCUUGAUGUGGCUCACUCUUUGGGCCCGUGCUGUCUUUAUGAACUGUAACACCCAUCGCAAAGGUCUGCAGCUUCACUCCUGAAGUCAGUGAGACCACGAACCCACCAGAAGAAACAAACUCCGGACACAUCUGACCAUCUGAAGGAACAGACUCUGGACACACCAUCUUUAAGAACUGUAACACUCACCACAAGGGUCCAUGGCUUCAUUCUUGAAGUUAGCGAGACCAAGAACCCACCAAUUCCGGACACAGUAGCACAGAGGCUGUGGGUGGUUUGACUAGAGCAGGCCCUAAGAAUGGUGGGACAUAGAAGCCUCGUUUCAGGGGUUUGAGGAGUGGGAAGUGAAAAACUAGAGACUAAGAGUGCAGACCAUUUUUUUAAGCCACUUGGUUCUGAAGGGAAGAAAAGAGUGUGGAAGAGGAUUUGGGGCAAGGCAGGAUUUUUCUUAUGAUAAGGAAUCCAUCAGAGAGGGAAAAAUUGAAGUCUGAGAAGAACGAUUGUUCCAAGGUGGAAGAGCCACAUUUUAUUUUUGAUUGAGGGUCAAAAACAGAGCCUUGGACUGCCUUGCGGUCUAGAAUGGGUGUGUGUGG